ACAGCCUCAGUGCCUCUACCACAGUUGCCGGCGUACGGCUCGGCCUCCGCGCUGCUGCUUUUCACCCCAACCGUGUUUUGUGAAGGAUUUCACCAAAACGACGCUCGCAGCACAGGCACGCGUGGGCGGAAACUGCGUUGAUGCCAACCGGCGAUAACGCACCCGGGGGAGCACACGGCUGCCUCUCGGCACGUUCCCCUCCCCGUGCGACCUCCGCCAGCCGUGGGACUUUUCCAAACGAGUCUCUGGGAGCUGCUCUGAGCCCAGCGUCCGGAGGACGGCUGCCAGGCCAGCUUUUGCAGCCAGGACGUGACCUUCCCCGCUCCUCCACCUGGAUCCGACCCCACGCAGGACCCAGACACGCCGCAGGGCAUCACUUAUACCCGGCGAGAGACGCCACCACCCGCAGCCUGAGAAUGGGCAACUUAUUACACUGAACAGGGGACUCCUUCUAGGACAGCUCUGGGGAAAAGCUUUUGUGCUUCUUCCCCCUGAAGAAAUCCACUCCACCCCCCCCAAGCAUCACUGGCACAAGCAUCCCAGCCGUGCCUGUGCAGCACGGAGGGGGCUGCAGGGACCACAGCUGGACAGAUGACCGCAGCUGGACAGACGGACGCCGGCCGCAGCUGGGCUCAGCUUGUUUUGAAAGUCACGGGUACUUCAGCGCUGGUGUUUCGCAACCGUACAGUAUCACAACAACAACAACUGCAGUUUUACUUUGCAAACCAGGGCCCGCAGCCGCUCAGCACCCCCGGCUCUUUCCUGCUCACAUCAGGCUGAGCUCGCCUGCUGCAACAGCUUCACCCAGGCGAGAGUUAUUUCCAAACCCAAGAAUGGAAAAUGACUUGAAGCAGCAGCAAAAUUGAGUAUUUAAUGUUUUUUUUUUUUUCCACACUGAGAGGGGCUUGGAGCUGCCCCAUCCCCUACGGGGCUGCACUAGGAUGCUCAGAUCACUGGCAAAAUCCCACCGGGAUCCUGCAUGCCCCAGCAUGUGCGCAGGGAGAAGCGGUUAGAAACCAUCUUCUCCCUUUGCCACGUGAGAAACACUCGAGCGAUGGCAGGAAAUAUUUUCUUUCUGCAGUUUUAACGUUUUCAGAUGGCUGCUCUCAGGGCCAGCAGCCCUGGGGGCAGCUCAGCCUCUGGCACAGCUGAAGCUUUCCAGGCUUUGGCAGCAGCGUGGCGUGGCAAAGCCACAGCUAUUGAAUUUUUUUUUUUUUAACUGAAACUUAAUAAUAAUAAAAUAAUAAUAAAAGAAAUCAUAAAACAAGGACGUUAGGAGCCAGGCAGCCGCCUCCAUGUGCUUCCCUGGCUAUCAGGUGAUCUGGAAGGAAAGGACGCGGCGCCCUUAUCAGCACACA